rnacentral:rRNA from 1 species
AACGCGAAGAACCUUACCUACUCUUGACAUCCAGAGAACUUUCCAGAGAUGGAUUGGUGCCUUCGGGAACUCUGAGACAGGUGCUGCAUGGCUGUCGUCAGCUCGUGUUGUGAAAUGUUGGGUUAAGUCCCGCAACGAGCGCAACCCUUAUCCUUUGUUGCCAGCGGUUAGGCCGGGAACUCAAAGGAGACUGCCAGUGAUAAACUGGAGGAAGGUGGGGAUGACGUCAAGUCAUCAUGGCCCUUACGAGUAGGGCUACACACGUGCUACAAUGGCGCAUACAAAGAGAAGCGACCUCGCGAGAGCAAGCGGACCUCAUAAAGUGCGUCGUAGUCCGGAUUGGAGUCUGCAACUCGACUCCAUGAAGUCGGAAUCGCUAGUAAUCGUGGAUCAGAAUGCCACGGUGAAUACGUUCCCGGGUCUUGUACACACCG